GCUGUAUGUUCCAAAUAAAGAUUGUCAGAGUUUGUACCUCAAGAACUGUGUGUCGUCUGGUUACUGGAGGGAAGGAAGAUUUAACCCCUGUGUCUGCUGUUCCACCUUGCAGGGGAUGCAGCGGGGAAAGUCCUUGUUAGGACUGAAAGAGCUAGUUUUCCACCUGUUUCCCCUGGUCCCAGCUAGGAAGCAACCCCUCUGGCAGAGGUAGCCAGCCGGGGUACAGGGAGCUCCGCUACAGUAUACAACAAGCCAAGACACAAUGUAUAUUUGUCAGGAUUACUAGUUGAUACAGCACGCAGAACAGUAUGACACCUAGGACUAAAGGUAACGUCCUACCGGGUCUUAGAAUGGCCAGAUUUAACGUACCAGAGAAUAGUCAGAAUACUUGCUGAGGUCAGGGACACAGAAUGAGACACAAUGAUGAGGGAAAGCCAAAUGUCAGGUGUGAAGAAUCACCCUCCACUCAUUCGGUUUUCUCCCUCCCUGCUACUUUAUUCGUGGAUUUAUUACUGGUUCAUUGGUUACUUUCAUUUUGUUAAUUUCCUUUGUUCGGUAAAAUAGUCAGCUUACCGAACGAAGACCACCCUAGGUAGUAAUU